rnacentral:rRNA from 1 species
AGAGUUUGAUCCUGGCUCAGGAUGAACGCUGGCGGCGUGCCUAAUACAUGCAAGUCGAGCGAACGGACGAGAAGCUUGCUUCUCUGAUGUUAGCGGCGGACGGGUGAGUAACACGUGGAUAACCUACCUAUAAGACUGGGAUAACUUCGGGAAACCGGAGCUAAUACCGGAUAAUAUUUUGAACCGCAUGGUUCAAAAGUGAAAGACGGUCUUGCUGUCACUUAUAGAUGGAUUCGCGCUGCAUUAGCUAGUUGGUAAGGUAACGGCUUACCAAGGCAACGAUGCAUAGCCGACCUGAGAGGGUGAUCGGCCACACUGGAACUGAGACACGGUCCAGACUCCUACGGGAGGCAGCAGUAGGGAAUCUUCCGCAAUGGGCGAAAGCCUGACGGAGCAACGCCGCGUGAGUGAUGAAGGUCUUCGGAUCGUAAAACUCUGUUAUUAGGGAAGAACAUAUGUGUAAGUAACUGUGCACAUCUUGACGGUACCUAAUCAGAAAGCCACGGCUAACUACGUGCCAGCAGCCGCGGUAAUACGUAGGUGGCAAGCGUUAUCCGGAAUUAUUGGGCGUAAAGCGCGCGUAGGCGGUUUUUUAAGUCUGAUGUGAAAGCCCACGGCUCAACCGUGGAG